CAGAAAUAGAAUCAAAGACGGAAAAAACGUUCCGUUUUGUAAUCGAAAAAGUUCAGAUUAUAUGGGGACCACAAUGCACCGCGCCAGACCACAGGAAGUACAGGAACCAGGGGCCACCACGGAACAAAGGACGCGCUGAUCAAAGCGAUCCGGAGAACCGAACCCUGGAGUUAAAUCAAAUGCAAGUCUGGAUAAAGCCGCCGAUUCACAUCAAUAGAGAAGUUCAAUGCGCUGGACACAAAGUCGCAGAUUUUUUCGAGCAAAAUAUAAACGUAUGUUGACAUUUCAUACCCGCUCCUUGCUGAUGGCGCACAGAGAAACGGCACGACGUCUUGACUAAUAUUUUAUACAUUAAUUUUAUUACACAAACUUCUGGAAAAAUUGUGUUAGGGUUUAGAUUUUGUUUUAUAAACGUCAGUUUUCUAAUAAAUCUAAAUGUAGGGCCUAAUUAAUUUGAUUGGGAGCUAAAUUGCGCCAUGAUGAAAUUCGUACACGGGAGCUCCUGCCUUCACGCUUCAAUAGUUUUCUGUUUCACAGUUUGUUAUUAUGGAAGUGUCCAGAGUGAUAACCCCACGAUGACCUACCUGUGGCCCCUGUCCCAGAAGACGGUAGCCUUUGAGAUGGUACGUAACCAGGACGCCAA